ensembl:lncRNA
UAGACAUUCUGUUUCUGACCUCUGGCUGUGACAGGUGACCCUCUUCGCAAAAUGAGGGGUUCCUUUGGCAGCUGUCUUGGUGGCCUUUUAGGAUGCUGAUAACACCAGGCUGGGGAGUGGUCAAGAAGCUCUGGGUAGUGGUGGAUCGGUGGUCCCAGUAGUCAUGUACAGAUGUGAGAGUUGGACCAUAAAGAAGGCUGAGCGCUGAAGAACUGAUGCUUCCGAACUAUGGUGUUGCAGAAGACUCUUGAGUGUCCCUUGGACUGCAAGGAGAUCCAACCGGAACUGAAGCAAGCUCAGAGGGCUUAACAUCUGCCCAUGGCUGUGAAUCUGCUGCUUAAACUGAGAAGUCACCUGCCUUAUGAAGCCUCCUAGAAGCCUAACCAAGGUCUUGAAAUUGAACUUUCUGAAGUCUGUCCUAAUGGCAAGG